UUCUUUUCUGUUUCGCUUUAAACUGAUGCAGAGAAGUGAUUCAGCAAGAGGGAUAUUUUUGAUUAAAUGGACCUUGUUGCACAGGAAAAAUCUGGACAAGUUGCUGCCUGUUUCUUCAACCUCCUCCUUCACAACAAGAUGCUGUUUCUCCAGCAAAGUACACUGCAAGGUGAUAGUUCACUUCCUGUCCCACCCCAAAGCGGUAAAUGGAGAGGUCUACAAAAAUGGAGAAAUAAAACAACAAAAUUGAACCAGACACUUUAAAAACUUCAUACAGUGAUUGGUUGAGGUAGCAGAUCCAGAGGGGAGUUAAGGAUGACAUCAGUGCUACAUAAAGUGACUGCUCUACAGCUCUAUCCCUCUCCCCAAAAACCCACGGAGCCUCAACCACCUCUAGUGAGUAUGAGGGAUCCUAAAUGAGCAUCUGAUAAUAAGACAGCAUGCAAUAUAGGCCCCCACUUCCACAUGAUUUUUUUUUUAAUCUGCCUACAUCUUCUUGUGCCACUUGGAUCCUCUGUGCAGUAGGAGAUUGGCAAGGACAACACAUAAUUCAGAG